rnacentral:rRNA from 1 species
AUGGCCCGUGAUGUGUUGGCUGUUCCGGUAUCAACGGUUGCGUCUGAGUCGGCAUUUAGCACAAGUGGUCGCAUCUUAAAUGAAUUUAGAACCUCCCUUACACCAUUCAUGGUCCAAGCUCUUGUUUGUGCCCAAGACUGGCUAAGGGGUUCUAUUACUAUCAACAUUGAAGAAGAUGAGGAGGAAUUGUUAAGAUUGGAAAAGGAUUGGCUCACUUGGCUGGAACUUGGAAUGGUCAAGAUGCUCAUGUUCAUGAUGGAAAAUUGGGAGUCUUACUGUUGGCUGCUCUUCAACUUCAAGUGCAAAUCUAUUGUCAUUUAUCACUAUCAGUUUGUGUUGUUGAACACUUGA